UUCUGCUUCUUCUUCUGGGUCCAGUGGGGAUUGGGAUUGGGGGGGGAGUGAGUGGGUGAGUUAAUGGGUUGAGGGUCUGGCUCGGCGCUGUCUGUUUGUUUGCGAGGGUGCGUCGCGGCAGAUACGAUCUUGAUUGAUUGAAGCGAGUCUCCCAGGCCAAUGAAUCAAUGAUUGUACUCCAGACUACUACAACUACGACUACUACUAAUACUACUACCCGGGGGAGAGAAGAAGGAGAAGGAGAAGCAGCAGCUUGGACCAAAGCCAAGCCAAGCCAAGUUGGAAUUGAAUUGAAUUGAAUUGCAUUGGCAGCUCUCUUUAAAGAGAAGCCCAUUCGAGGGGGUGGGGUGAGAAUUUAUAUCUCCCAUUCCCUCUCGCAGGUGUGGUGUGGUGUCCUCGUGCCCUGCUGCACUGUCAGAUCAAGAGAUUUGCAGCCAUGGCUCGAAAGUGGAGCUUGAUUUGGACGGUUUCAAUGCCGCGCUGAGACCGGAGAAUCGCUGAUUAAUUGCAUGAUUGCGGCCUUUUUAUUUUUAAUCCUUUUAAAUAAUAAUAAUUUUAACAUUAAUUGUUGUUUUGGGUUUGUUGAUUUAUUUAUUUUGUUAAAUUGUUUUUUUUUGUAAUAUUUAAUGUGUUUUCGACAUUUUCCUCUUUGGCAUGUGAUUCUGGAUCUUUUGAUUGCGCUUCUGGAUUAAUGGAUGAGGAGGGUUUGUUUGAUUUUAUUCUGUGCACGUACUGGGGCUGUAAGGAUGCGAAAGCGACGUCGUGGAAAUAGUUUCAGGUACAUUGGAAUGAAAUGUCCCUACAGAGGGAUUCUCCUGCAUUGCAAUCAAAUGACGUUCCGUGACUUUGCACGCUCUGGAUAUUAAUUCUUGUAUGAAAAGAGAGCAUCGCACAUCGAUAUGCGUAGGAGAAAUGAUGUAACCACUCGAGAAUUUUGGGUUUUCGAGAGUCGGCAUCGUCUUCAUGUUCUCAUGUAAGUGAGUUUGUCACACGACUCUAAAUUUACUUUCGGAACCAUUACACGCUCUCUCUCUCUCUCUCACUCUUACUCACAGCAUGUUGAAUUUCAGUCAACAUUGGCAAAUUGGACAUUGUCAACUACAGCCACAUGCGUUUUGCGAUUGAGUGCCAUAAUAUUCCUGAAGAGCUAGACUUCUUAUGAACCUUCUGCUUGUGUCGUAGUAACCUUUUUUGUGGCAGUUGUCAUGGCUCAAGAGCUGCGGCUGGAAUACACUUCCUCUACCUUCCCAAAUACAAGUACUGACUUGAAUGCACAUAUUGACGUCUGUGAUGUCGACUACUCCUGUAACGCGAAGGGGUUUGGCCUCAUGUCUUCUUCAUCAUUUCUCAUGGCGGCCGGAAGUCUUGGACUCCAUUAUGAAGGAAAACAGAGACGUUUCGAGGAUCUGUCUGUCUUUCGCCGCCUGCAGGAAUUUGAAGAGUCCUCCCACAGUUUAAUGAGUCUCUGCAGCACAACAUCGUCAACCUACUCCGAAAAGCAUCACCGUAUCCCCUAAACAACCACCUGGGCUUCAUUUGUAUAAUUUGCUUCGAAUCCGCACUCACAUAUUCAACAAGAUAUCAAUGUGGUGGGAGCAUGUUGUCUGUCAUGUCUUCAAUGCCUUUAAAUGCAGGUGGGUUUUCCUCUUUUGUGCUUCAUUCAGCUGAUUUGUGCUUCAUAUAUCAACUUCUCUCUUCUAUUGAGAGAGAGAGAGAGAGAGAGAGAGAGAGAGAAAAAAAAAAAAAAAAAAAAAAAAAU